ACGGAGGGUGCGAACGUUAAUCGGAAUUACUGGGCGUAAAGCGCGCGUAGGCGGUUUAUUAAGUGGGAUGUGAAAGCCCCGGGCUCAACCUGGGAACUGCAUUCCAAACUGACAAACUAGAGUACGAGAGAGGGGGGUAGAAUUCAGAGUGUAGCGGUGAAAUGCGUAGAUAUUCUGAGGAAUACCAGUGGCGAAGGCGGCCCCCUGGCUUGAUACUGACGCUGAGGCGCGAAAGCGUGGGGAGCAAACAGG
rnacentral:rRNA from 1 species